GCCCGGGUGGUGAAAUCGGUAGACACAGGAGACUUAAAAUCUCCCGACAGCAAUGUCGUGCCGGUUCAAGUCCGGCCCCGGGCA
rfam:Spongiibacter sp. IMCC21906, complete genome.